CGGCGAGUGAAGCGGCAACAGCUCAAAUUUGAAAUCUGGCCGCAAGGUCCGAGUUGUAAUUUGUAGAGGAUGCUUUUGGCGAGGUGCCUUCCGAGUUCCCUGGAACGGGACGCCAUAGAGGGUGAGAGCCCCGUACGGUAGGACCACCAAGCCUCUGUAAAGCUCCUUCGACGAGUCGAGUAGUUUGGGAAUGCUGCUCUAAAUGGGAGGUGUACGUCUUCUAAAGCUAAAUACCGGCCAGAGACCGAUAGCGCACAAGUAGAGUGAUCGAAAGAUGAAAAGCACUUUGAAAAGAGGGUUAAAAAGUACGUGAAAUUGUUGAAAGGGAAGCAUUCAUGACCAGACUUGGGCUUGGUUGAACAUCCGGCGUUCUCGCCGGUGCACUCUGCCAGUCCAGGCCAGCAUCAGUUUGCCCCGGGGGAUAAAGGCGGCGGGAAUGUGGCUCCCUUCGGGGAGUGUUAUAGCCCGUCGUGUAAUGCCCUGGGGCGGACUGAGGAACGCGCUUCGGCACGGAUGCUGGCGUAAUGGUCAUCAAUGACCCGUCUUGAAACCACGG
rnacentral:rRNA from 1 species